rnacentral:rRNA from 1 species
UACGGAGGAUGCAAGCGUUAUCCGGAAUGAUUGGGCGUAAAGCGUCCGCAGGUGGCUAUGUAAGUCUGCUGUUAAAGCGUGAGGCUCAACCUCAUAAGAGCAGUGGAAACUACAUGGCUAGAGUGCGUUCGGGGCAGAGGGAAUUCCUGGUGUAGCGGUGAAAUGCGUAGAUAUCAGGAAGAACACCGGUGGCGAAAGCGCUCUGCUAGGCCGCAACUGACACUGAGGGACGAAAGCUAGGGGAGCGAACGGG